rnacentral:rRNA from 1 species
UACGUAGGGCGCAAGCGUUGUCCGGAAUUAUUGGGCGUAAAGAGCUCGUAGGCGGUUUGUCGCGUCUGCUGUGAAAACCUGAGGCUCAACCUCGGGCUUGCAGUGGGUACGGGCAGACUAGAGUGCGGUAGGGGAGAUCGGAAUUCCUGGUGUAGCGGUGAAAUGCGCAGAUAUCAGGAGGAACACCGGUGGCGAAGGCGGAUCUCUGGGCCGUAACUGACGCUGGAGGAGCGAAAGCAUGGGGAGCGAACAGG